GACGAACGCUGGCGGCGUGCUUAACACAUGCAAGUCGAACGAUGAUGCCCAGCUUGCUGGGUGGAUUAGUGGCGAACGGGUGAGUAACACGUGAGUAACCUGCCCCUGACUCUGGGAUAAGCGUUGGAAACGACGUCUAAUACUGGAUAUGAUCACUGGCCGCAUGGUCUGGUGGUGGAAAGAUUUUUUGGUUGGGGAUGGACUCGCGGCCUAUCAGCUUGUUGGUGAGGUAAUGGCUCACCAAGGCGACGACGGGUAGCCGGCCUGAGAGGGUGACCGGCCACACUGGGACUGAGACACGGCCCAGACUCCUACGGGAGGCAGCAGUGGGGAAUAUUGCACAAUGGGCGAAAGCCUGAUGCAGCAACGCCGCGUGAGGGAUGACGGCCUUCGGGUUGUAAACCUCUUUUAGUAGGGAAGAAGCGAAAGUGACGGUACCUGCAGAAAAAGCACCGGCUAACUACGUGCCAGCAGCCGCGGUAAUACGUAGGGUGCAAGCGUUGUCCGGAAUUAUUGGGCGUAAAGAGCUCGUAGGCGGUUUGUCGCGUCUGCUGUGAAAUCCCGAGGCUCAACCUCGGGCUUGCAGUGGGUACGGGCAGACUAGAGUGCGGUAGGGGAGAUUGGAAUUCCUGGUGUAGCGGUGGAAUGCGCAGAUAUCAGGAGGAACACCGAUGGCGAAGGCAGAUCUCUGGGCCGUAACUGACGCUGAGGAGCGAAAGCGUGGGGAGCGAACAGGAUUAGAUACCCUGGUAGUCCACGCCGUAAACGUUGGGCGCUAGAUGUAGGGACCUUUCCACGGUUUCUGUGUCGUAGCUAACGCAUUAAGCGCCCCGCCUGGGGAGUACGGCCGCAAGGCUAAAACUCAAAGGAAUUGACGGGGGCCCGCACAAGCGGCGGAGCAUGCGGAUUAAUUCGAUGCAACGCGAAGAACCUUACCAAGGCUUGACAUACACCGGAAACGGCCAGAGAUGGUCGCCCCCUUGUGGUCGGUGUACAGGUGGUGCAUGGUUGUCGUCAGCUCGUGUCGUGAGAUGUUGGGUUAAGUCCCGCAACGAGCGCAACCCUCGUUCUAUGUUGCCAGCGCGUUAUGGCGGGGACUCAUAGGAGACUGCCGGGGUCAACUCGGAGGAAGGUGGGGAUGACGUCAAAUCAUCAUGCCCCUUAUGUCUUGGGCUUCACGCAUGCUACAAUGGCCGGUACAAAGGGCUGCGAUACCGUAAGGUGGAGCGAAUCCCAAAAAGCCGGUCUCAGUUCGGAUUGAGGUCUGCAACUCGACCUCAUGAAGUCGGAGUCGCUAGUAAUCGCAGAUCAGCAACGCUGCGGUGAAUACGUUCCCGGGCCUUGUACACACCGCCCGUCAAGUCAUGAAAGUCGGUAACACCCGAAGCCGGUGGCCUAACCCUUGUGGAAGGAGCCGUCGAAGGUGGGA
rnacentral:rRNA from 1 species